CCCGAUUUUAGAAAAAACCCACAAUAUUGGGGAUGUAGGCUGAAUAUACUGGAAGAAUAAGGAUCGGCUAACUCCGUGCCCGCCGCCGCGGUAAUACGGAGGAUCCGAGCGUUAUCCGGAUUUAUUGGGUUUAAAGGGUGCGUAGGCGGCCAAUUAAGUCAGGGGUGAAAUACGGUGGCUCAACCAUCGCAGUGCCUUUGAUACUGAUYGGCUUGAAUCCAUUUGAAGUGGGCGGAAUAAGACAAGUAGCGGUGAAAUGCAUAGAUAUGUCUUAGAACUCCGAUUGCGAAGGCAGCUCACUAAGCUGGUAUUGACGCUGAUGCACGAAAGCGUGGGGAUCGAACAGGAUUAGAUACCCUGGUAGUCCACGCCCUAAACGAUGAUAACUCGAUGUUGGCGAUAGACAGCCCGCGUCCCAGCGAAAGCGUUAAGUUAUCCACCUGGGGAGUACGCCCGCAAGGGUGAAACUCAAAGGAAUUGACGGA
rnacentral:rRNA from 1 species